ensembl:lncRNA
AACUCCCAAGGAAGCAAGGGCUGGCCUAAAGGCUGUGGACAUUGGAUUAGGAGCAGAAGUAGUCCUAAAGGAACUCCAGAGUAGCCCCAAGAGCAGCGUAGGUGAGCUCAGUGUGUUGGCAUUUAGAAAGGACUGCAUGGACUGUUUGACCAAUAUUGUCAAGAAAAUGCAAGACAAGAGCCCACUGAAGUACACCAUUGUGAGGCAGAUGGCAUGUUUGGACCCAACGAGCAUGUUCUCAGACCCCGACUUGUGCUAUGAAAGAAUGAAAGGAGUUGUUCAGAGGUUUCUGCAUGAUAACCAGCUGUCGGGAGGCGCCUCUGCUGGUGAUGUGAUUGUCCAACAAUUUGGAAAUUUCUUGUCUCUGGAGGCAAAACAUGAGUCAUUCUCCUCUUUCCAACCCAUGCGUACAAGACUGGACGUUUUCUUGCAUGGACUCCUCCAUCAAUCCUACCCUGAACUCUGGGCAUUCUGCAGGAAACUUCUGCUUCUCUCCCAUGGCCAAGCAACGGUUGAGAGGGGCUUUUCUGUAAACAAGGAGGUAGAGGCCGAUAACAUGAAGGAGGACACAGUGGUUGCUCAGAGGAUGAUCUGUGACUAUGUCUCUGUCUGUGGGGGGGUUCUCAAAGUACCUCUGACUAAGGAGCUUUUGGCAGCUGCAGCUUCAGCUAGG